rnacentral:rRNA from 1 species
UACGUAGGGGGCAAGCGUUGUCCGGAAUUAUUGGGCGUAAAGGGCGCGUAGGCGGCUCGACACGUUCGUUGUGAAAUCGCCCGGCUCAACUGGGCGGGGUCAGCGAAUACGGUCGAGCUUGAGCAAGCUAGGGGGCAAUGGAAUUCCCGGUGUAGUGGUGGAAUGCGUAGAUAUCGGGAGGAACACCCGUGGCGAAGGCGGCUUCCUGGGCCGCCCCUGACGCUGAGGCGCGAAAGCGUGGGGAGCGAACGGG